AUUAAAGGGUGGGCUCAACUCAGCGCACACUGUGUCUCACCUAAAAAAUCCAUUGCGCAGGCUUGAAGGGUAAAGACCUUUCCCAAAUCUUCGCUCGUGAAGACUGGCCAUACUGUACCAAGCUCACUAAGCACAGGUAGUU